AGAAAUUUAAGUUAUCUAAACUCGAGACCUUCAAAGUCCCAAAAAAGAGUAUCAAUCCUCUUAAUUUCUG
rnacentral:tRNA from 1 species